UUUAGUCAGGCAACGAGCGAGACCCCUACUUCUAAUUGCUAUCAGGGAUCGCAAGAUCUUUGAGGCUAGUUAGAAGGACUGCCGCCGCUAAGGCGGAGGAAGGAAGGGGCCACGGAAGGUCAGUAUGCCCCGAAACUCCCGGGCCACACGCGGGCUGCAAUGGUAAGGACAAUGGGUCCCAACCUCGAAAGAGUUAGGCAAUCCCCAAACCUUACCCCAGUUGUGACUGAGGGCUGCAACCCGCCCUCACGAAUCUGGAAUCCCUAGUAACCGCGUGUCACCAUCGCGCGGUGAAUACGUCCCUGCUCCUUGCACA
rnacentral:rRNA from 1 species